UACGUAGGUGGCAAGCGUUAUCCGGAAUUAUUGGGCGUAAAGAGCGCGCAGGUGGUUGAUUAAGUCUGAUGUGAAAGCCCACGGCUUAACCGUGGAGGGUCAUUGGAAACUGGAGGACUUGAGUACAGAAGAGGAGAGUGGAAUUCCACGUGGAGCGGUGAAAUGCGUAGAGAUGUGGAGGAACACCAGUGGCGAAGGCGUCUCUCUGGUCUGUAACUGACGCUGAGGUGCGAAAGCGUGGGGAGCAAACAGGAUUAGAUA
rnacentral:rRNA from 1 species